rnacentral:rRNA from 1 species
GAUGAACGCUGGCGGCGUGCCUAAUACAUGCAAGUCGAGCGAACAGACGAGGAGCUUGCUCCUCUGACGUUAGCGGCGGACGGGUGAGUAACACGUGGAUAACCUACCUAUAAGACUGGGAUAACUUCGGGAAACCGGAGCUAAUACCGGAUAAUAUAUUGAACCGCAUGGUUCAAUAGUGGAAGACGGUUUUGCUGUCACUUAUAGAUGGAUCCGCGCCGCAUUAGCUAGUUGGUAAGGUAACGGCUUACCAAGGCAACGAUGCGUAGCCGACCUGAGAGGGUGAUCGGCCACACUGGAACUGAGACACGGUCCAGACUCCAACGGGAGGCAGCAGUAGGGAAUCUUCCGCAAUGGGCGAAAGCCUGACGGAGCAACGCCGCGUGAGUGAUGAAGGUCUUCGGAUCGUAAAACUCUGUUAUUAGGGAAGAACAAAUGUGUAAGUAACUAUGCACGUCUUGACGGUACCUAAUCAGAAAGCCACGGCUAACUACGUG